ensembl:snRNA U2 U2 spliceosomal RNA
AUCGCUUCUCGGCCUUUUGGCUAAGAUCAAGUGUAAAUUGGUCAUUCCAAUUGGCUUGUUUAUAGGAAAAAUACUACAGUGUAUGUGAUGUACAAUAUUUAUUGAAGAACAUCGACAAUCUAAAAUAGGUUUUCUUACUUCAAACCCUCAUAUUUUGAGUCUUUG